GAUGAACGCUGGCGGCGUGCCUAAUACAUGCAAGUCGAGCGAACAGACGAGGAGCUUGCUCCUCUGACGUUAGCGGCGGACGGGUGAGUAACACGUGGAUAACCUACCUAUAAGACUGGGAUAACUUCGGGAAACCGGAGCUAAUACCGGAUAAUAUAUUGAACCGCAUGGUUCAAUAGUGAAAGACGGUUUUGCUGUCACUUAUAGAUGGAUCCGCGCCGCAUUAGCUAGUUGGUAAGGUAACGGCUUACCAAGGCAACGAUGCGUAGCCGACCUGAGAGGGUGAGCGGCCACACUGGAACUGAGACACGGUCCAGACUCCUACGGGAGGCAGCAGUAGGGAUUCUUCCGCAAUGGGCGAAAGCCUGACGGAGCAACGCCGCUUGAGUGAUGAAGGUCUUCGGAUCUUAAAACUCUGUUAUUAGGGAAGAACAAAUGUGUAAGUAACUAUGCACGUCUUGACGGUACCUAAUCAGAAAGCCACGGCUAACUACGUG
rnacentral:rRNA from 1 species